rnacentral:tRNA from 1 species
GGUGGUUCAGUGGUAGAAUACACGCGGGCGGCCCGGGUUCGAUUCCCGGCCU